AGCAAGGACGAACACGGCACUAACCAAUUGUACCAAAAGCAAUCUAAAUGGUACUUUCUCCUCUUUGUGACAACACGUGGCGAUAUUAUUGUUAAGCACGUAUGCUAUAAAAGUGAACAAAACAUAGCAAUGCUCUCCGCUGCUUCACAACUGUAUGAACAAUGAUUCUGCUACAAGAAUUAGCCGCUCGGUCUUUCCCCAAAGAAUGUCGGUGAAGAUUUUGCAAAUGACUGGACGGUCCAAAAUCGUCUAAGUUUGAUCGUGUAAAAAGAUAAAUUCCAUUUAAAGUUGGGGUUUGCACCUGCAUGUGAUUGUUUGUUUAAGAUCUUCAGUGAAAGCAUUCCGAAUUGACAUCAGGAACAAAAAAAUAGUAAUUGAAGGUAGUGAAGACUUUUAUGCUUAUGAUAUUUUUGACCGAAUUUUGAAUUGAAUUAGGUUAAGGGUCCUGACUCCUUAUUUUACUGAGUAUUGAUUGUGCUAACAUUUUUGAAGCUAAAAUCAAAAGGAACUCUAUUGUUUUAGAUGUUUUACAUCAACCAUGACAAAAGACACUAUCAGGGACCUCCCUUCUAAAUCUGUAAGUGAAGAUUUAUAAAGUUAUUUUCUUGAUUGUUAGCUUUAGAUAAUUAUAUUGGUGUGUAUUUUACUCAAGCUGCUCUCUUUAAAUCUUUCCCCUAAGAUCGAUUCCUAUUUCUUCAGCGAGAAAAUAAAAUUACACAUACCAUGGAGUUUAUCAAAUGUCAGUAAUUAGGUCUGAAUUUCUUUGCGAUUAUGAUUCUCUUCACACAUCCACUGCCUCCAAGUUUCUGUGACUGCAGGAAGUGCUCGAUUUAUCUUGCUAACUUUUGCAUGACAGCGAACUACCUAGCAUAGGAAUUGACUCUCUUUUUUCUUCAAUGAGGAAGUCUUUAGUCAGAAAUGGAGAACAGAUGGUUGAUAUUGAUACAAAAAGCUAAGCAUAGGUAGCAUUUUAGGUACAACUUUCACUAACCAAAUGCAUUAUAUGUGAUUUCUUCCCAUCUAGGAUAGAGUUACCUGUUGCUGGUGAGAGGAGUUCACAUCUAGGAAAAGGUUUGACGCCUUAAUAUCAGCUCUUUGCCACUCGGAGCUAUUGUAUGUUUCAAGGGUUGGGUUAUUCGUCCAUUAAAGUCGUUCGUAUGUGAGCUCUAUUCAGAACCUUGUGAGAUAGUUCAAUGCCACUUUGGUUGACUCUUGAACAUGUGGAAGGACUUUAAAUCCACGUGUGUGCAACGCAAAAUGCAUCUUCUGCAUCUAUUCUAAAGACCCGAGGUAACCUUCAUCUAACUCUCAGUUUCCAUCUUUGUCUCCUGUCACUCAGUCUCUCUGAAAAUUGAAACAUGAUUUUCAUAAUUAUGUACAGAAGAUGACCACCAUUCAUUACGAACAAUUGACCUGAUUAAUUUUUUCAACUCCCUGUGAAUGAAAUGCUAAAAUCUGUUAUAUCAAGUUAGGCGCUUGCACUAAAUGGAAGAGAUCUUUUGGACCGUGCUGUGAGGCUAGACUUGGCACAGUGAGAGGGGAGAAUAUACACCACACAGUGGGUAUGCAAUUUCUCUCUCCCCUUAUUGCUUUCAUUUAAGUUAAAAGUAGAGAUGUCACUUAAGUAUGUGUAAAUCUUAUGUUAUUUGAAGACGAAAUAUUAUUCAGGAUUAAGUUUCUGCUGCAAAGAAAAGUGUUAAUUCUGUACAACUGAUAUUGAUAAUGUUCCUUAUUACUGUAAUUUAAUAACUUUUUAACUUUGUAGGAAUGAUGAAAACACAAAAUUCUAUUAUAUUGCUACUUAUCCUUCCUAUACAAUUACAUGAACCCUAGAGCAUCGCUAUGUUAAUUGAGCUUCUUAAGUGACAAUAAGAAAUUCCAAUAUGAGUAUACUUAUGUCACGAAAACUAUUAUUUUUGUUUGCUUCUUAGUUUGUGUUCUUUGUAUAGAAAUACAACGUUUAUUCUGUUUGUGUCGUUUGUAUAACAAACAAUUUAUAUAUUAUAGGACCAAGUAGUAAAGAUACACUUUUGAAAUGGUAUAGGUUGUUUGGUCAUUAUGAGUUUAAAUUCUUCAUCUAUAUGGAACUAGCGAUCUCCUACAUUGAUAAUGUGAAAUCAUACGGGUCUAUGUCAUGAUGGGGGAAUAACAAUAAGGAGGAAAAUAAGUGCUAUAGAAACCAAAAAAUGACAAAGUUUAGAGAACAGACAUGAGCAAAAGCUUAGAUAGCUUGCUGAUUUGGACUAAUCAGCGACAUUGAAUAAGAUUAAAAGUAGUAUUUGGCGAAGCAGCCUAUUUGCAAAGCUAAUUCUAGGACAGGAUCUUCGGUUCAAUAAUCUCUCUUAUAGCGUCACAGGGAAAGUCAAGAAAGAUGAUUUGAUCAAUAGUGAAGCUUAUCUUCUUAAUGAUUCUCUGGAUAAGCCUCGAGAGGCAUAAUCAUGGCCAUCAUGUGGCCUUAUGAUGCUGGAAAUUUUACUUCUCUCAAUCCAAUUGUUGAAAUGCUUAUGGUAGCCUUGAGGGACUAUUAGGAAUUGAUGGCAAGUCUGUUGUGUGAGAAGUGUGAACAAUUUCGCAUCAAUCCAAGAACACUACUGAUCGAAAGAAACUUAUAUAAGUGACAUAUGAAACCAACCAACACUUACAUAAAAAUUUCAUUAAAAAAUUAACUUGAUCAAGGAGGCCGCCAAAAAUUCUAGAAUCUAAGAUGUUCUUCAAACUUUUGAAGCUCUUCUGGAUGUGUCUAUUGAUGAUCUAAGAAUAUAUUUUGAUAAAGUUGGCAGCCUUGAUAUCAACAAAGUUAAGGGUUACAAUGAUGAUUUAAAAACAAGGAUUAAUGCUUCAGUUACUUAUCGACAAAUAUGUUUAGAUGUUUUCAUAACACAAUUGGUUACAAAGGUGACAAAAUGAAUAAAUUAUUAAAAACUGCAGGGGAAUUCACUAGCGAUACCUUUCCAUGAUCACUAGCUUGGGCUAAAACUUAGUACAUCAUCAUGCUGAAAAAUUAGCUAUUACUUUCAAAAUUCAUUAUAUGAUGAAAUUUGAACUUGCUCCAUCUUUUACAGAAGUCUUUUAAUUACAAUUACUUUGGUCUGUUCUUCUAAAAAUUGUCUAUAAAAAAUUUAGUUUAUUUUUAAUACACUUUCGUGAUUCGGCUCUCUGAAUUCAUGCAUAGCCGAAGUUUUAAUGCACCGUAUUAUACUUUUUUACUUUUUAGAUUUCUUACUUAUUGUGUUUUUUUAAUUAUUAAAUUCUCGGGUUGAGGUUUGAUGCUAUCUCUGUUCGGAUAGCAUGUGUUAGAGAAGCUAAUCCAUAUAUGAAUAUGUUGGUGACCUUUGUGAUAAGAGAUAUCUUUAUUCCCUUCUCUGUUUGUCCUUCUUAAUGUCGUUAAAUUUGACAAAUCUUUCAUUUGUUUCCACUAGCCCUUCGGAGAUACAUGUCUUAAUGAUUUCUAUAUUUAUGAAAUUAUUUCAAAAUUAUUUGGAUGUAGGGUUCCGAGUAUUGAUACUAAUCUUGAUUUAAUUACAUUUUAAGUUCUUACAAAUAUUAUUGACUGGAUAUGCUUGUACUUUGUGAUGUAAGGCUCAACCAUCCCAGAAAAGGAAGAUGUAACAAAGAUCUACAUUCAACUUGAAGGUUAAAGGUUAACAACAGGACAAAUAAUGUUCUGAUGAAAUUCCAACCAGAACAAAACUCGAGCUCCAAAAUUGAAUGUGAUGGUUUAUAACAAAGAUCUUUCUCAAAUUUUCUUAUUAGAUCUGUCCUUGUGAACGCGAGAAGGAGUUUCUCAUCUACACCCAUGAGAGAAGAGGCUAUUCUAGCUGGUUUUUGCAAUUUAUCAUCCAACUUUUGCCUCUUUUCAAUGCUUGGUAUCGCCAAUUCUAAUUAUGCACAUUACUGUAUCCUUUUGGUUUAGUACUUGCAUCUGGACAAUUUCUUCAUCUUGGCCUUUUGGCAAGUCCUCCCGUGGCUAUAGUAAAGAAGAAUUGUGCCACUAUUAGCUUUCUCUUUCAUGCAUAGUUUCUCUUAUCUUUGAGCCAAUAAAAAGUUGUGAUCAUCCCAAAUGAGUUACGGCUUAGGAGUGUAUGCUGAAUUUCACUAAAGUGCUAAUUUCUUGGUUUGUGCUAUAAUAUUUUUGUUUAGUUUCCUUUACUUUGAGCUAUGAAAGGUAGCGGUCGUUUUACUUAAGUAAUAUGUGUAAAUAGAAUUUCAUAAAAGGUUCUGGAGUAAAGCUAGCUCUUUCUAUCAUAACAUCCGGUACUGAGAUUGCUUUUACUCUAAUUGUGCAACCAACAACUGCUAAAUUUUUUUUUUGGUAUCUUUUCUGAGGUACUGGUAAGAUUUGCGUACACUUUGUCCUCCCAGAUCUCACCUAUGGAAUUCUACUGGUAUAUUAUUAUUGUAUCUUCUUACUGAUAUCUGAACUUCUUGUUAAAGUUUACAUUUUGGCACAUCUUCUUCUUCCGUUAACUGCCUUUGUACAUGAAUGUGAGAAUUCCUGACCACAGUAUUAACUUUAAGUUAUCUGAUUCCUGCACAUUUUUAAUGUUUCAUGGAUACACAUAUUUUCUUUCUGUUUUCUGUUUUCUGUUUUCGUCUAUAUUUUAUGAACUAAUUUAAUAGGUUGAUAAAAUGCAGACAAUGAGAAUCUUUUACUCACAUAUCAAUUGUACCAUAAUUGUGUAUGGGAUCUUUUGAGUCUAUCAGCCCCAACAAGGACUGCGGAAUCAAUGUUGGGCUUCAAGAAGCGAAAGAGAUGUUGAAACUCUUCACGAGACAUACCUUUGCAUCACUAUAUCUGUGAAUGUGUCUUGUAGCAUCUUUAGCAAGUAUGUUAGUUUUGAAUAUUCCCUUUUUACCUGAUCUAUGUUGGCAGAUUAGCUUUGGUUUGAUAAUGUUAGCCAAAUAUACAUUUUUAAGCAAGAUAUACCCAAUGACCAAUGCAAUAUUUAUGUUACUCUAUACAAUCUACUAUGUGAUCUUUUUCA